UACAGAGGGGGCAAGCGUUGUUCGGAAUUACUGGGCGUAAAGGGCGCGUAGGCGGCCCGCUAAGUCGAACGUGAAAUCCCUGGGCUCAACCCAGGAACUGCGUCCGAUACUGGCAGGCUUGAAUCCGGGAGAGGGAUGCGGAAUUCCAGGUGUAGCGGUGAAAUGCGUAGAGAUGUGGAGGAACACCAGUGGCGAAGGCGACUCUUUGGCCUGUAACUGACGCUGAGGCGCGAAAGCGUGGGGAGCAAACAGG
rnacentral:rRNA from 1 species